ACACACAUCACCUGGGACCUUGUUAAGAUGCAGAUCUUGAUCCUCAGUAGAUCCGAGGUGGAGUCUGAGAUCCUGCAUUUCUAACAGGCUCCCAGGUGAUGCUGAU
rnacentral:pre_miRNA from 1 species